UUGAAAACAUUCAAGUACGGAAUAAACCAUUACUGCGAAUACGCUCCUAUGACACAAGAACAAUCUCUGAGCUUCUUUGAGGAUGUCCAGAUGACUGCUGACUGCACUAAUUGCAUCAAUCAUGCAUCCAUACAGGUUAUUUCUAUAAAAUAGUGGUCGCUAGUUAUGAGGCAUUAAGCCUUCAUGGAUAUAGACAGACUAUUCCACCUAAGUGAUCUGGCAGAAGCUUAGUUUUCUACCACAACAUCCACCGUCCUCCCUCCCUCCCUUCCUAGCUGGUCAGAAAAGCUACUCAGAAUAAAGACUACAUUUCCCAGCCAUCUUUGCAGCUAGGUUUAUCCACCUGACUAAAUUCCACCGGACUGCCACAAGAACAUGAAGUCCAGAGCUCCAGCAGCUGUUGGAACCACGAUGUGACCCUGAAGGCAGGAAACAGCUUUGGAAGGCAGGACCUCACUCUGUCACUCAGGCUGUAGUGCAGUGGUGUGAUCUCAGCUCACUGCAGCCUCAACCUCCUGGGCUCAAGUGAUCCUACCACAGCUUCUUGAGUAGCUGGGACUACAGUAACUCCAGGUUGAAGAACUUCUACUUAUAGGCGUCUAUUCAACAAAGACAAAUCCUGGAAAGGGGAUGGAAAUGAUGGCUCACGUCUUAGCAAACUACCAGUACAUCUACUAGAACUGGAACUGAUCCGAGAGGACAGGGAAGUCAGUGUGGGCGGCUCUAAGGAGCCUCCCUCUCUACAGCUGCGGCUCAGAGGAUUACGGCGCUUCAUCCACAAGGCAACAUUGCACAAGUAGCUUUUGAACAAAAGUCAUGGAUACUAUUAAUGAUAUGGUAAUCCUUAAUCGAGCUACCUCCCAGUAGUGAUUAUACUGACAUGGGAAGAAUAUCUAAGUCGUGGAGGCAGCCCACAACAACACUGUGUCAUUGUUCACCCCGGGCUCGACCAGGACUAACUUUUACCAGCAUCUCUAACGUCACCUUUCCCUUGAUGCCUCCCCACAACCCCUGGCCCCAGCUCCCACUCCCACCCCAUCAUAGCAAAAAAGUAGCAAAGAAAACCCUGAUCCUAAAUCUUUUUUAGAUUCGUUUUUGCAAGUUCCCACACACAUUUAGUGUCGUCUCAAAAUUCACGCUGUCAACUGUCUCUAGGAAUCAUUUCCAACUGAGAACAGACCACACAAAG
rnacentral:lncRNA from 1 species